AACGCGAAGAACCUUACCAAGGCUUGACAUAUACGAGAACGGGCCAGAAAUGGUCAACUCUUUGGACACUCGUAAACAGGUGGUGCAUGGUUGUCGUCAGCUCGUGUCGUGAGAUGUUGGGUUAAGUCCCGCAACGAGCGCAACCCUCGUUCUAUGUUGCCAGCACGUAAUGGUGGGAACUCAUGGGAUACUGCCGGGGUCAACUCGGAGGAAGGUGGGGAUGACGUCAAAUCAUCAUGCCCCUUAUGUCUUGGGCUUCACGCAUGCUACAAUGGCCGGUACAAAGGGCUGCAAUACCGUAAGGUGGAGCGAAUCCCAAAAAGCCGGUCCCAGUUCGGAUUGAGGUCUGCAACUCGACCUCAUGAAGUCGGAGUCGCUAGUAAUCGCAGAUCAGCAACGCUGCGGUGAAUACGUUCCCGGGCCUUGUACACACCG
rnacentral:rRNA from 1 species